rnacentral:rRNA from 1 species
GUCAUAUGCUUGUCUCAAAGAUUAAGCCAUGCAUGUCUCAGUACAAGCCAAAUUAAGGUGAAACCGCGAAAGGCUCAUUAAAUCAGUUAUGGUUCCUUAGAUCGUACCCACAAUUACUUGGAUAACUGUGGUAAUUCUAGAGCUAAUACAUGCAAACAGAGCUCCGACCGGAGACGGGAGGAGUGCUUUUAUUAGAUCAAAACCAAUCGGUGGCGGGUUCGCGCUCGUCAUCGUACAACUUGGUGACUCUGAAUAACUUUAAGCUGAUCGCACGGUCAUCGCACCGGCGACGCAUCUUUCAAAUGUCUGACUUAUCAACUGUCGAUGGUAGGUUCUGCGCCUACCAUGGUUGUAACGGGUAACGGGGAAUCAGGGUUCGAUUCCGGAGAGGGAGCCUGAGAAACGGCUACCACAUCCAAGGAAGGCAGCAGGCGCGCAAAUUACCCACUCCCGGCACGGGGAGGUAGUGACGAAAAAUAACGAUACGGGACUCAUCCGAGGCCCCGUAAUCGGAAUGAGUACACUCUAAACCCUUUAACGAGGAUCAAUUGGAGGGCAAGUCUGGUGCCAGCAGCCGCGG